CACACACACACACACACACGUAGGUUUGAUGAGGCCCUCAGCUCCUGAAGGUAAUGGGGCCCUUUAUAUGUCCAGCUGUCCUUUGUCCACAACAAAUUGUCACUGUUUUGUGUUGAAUAUGUGCUAUAUAGUAAUUUGUGGACCUAAUAGGGAUCUCAAGCCAUUUGCACAUAACAAAAUAUGUAUUUUAUCAAAGUAAUUGUUGAACUGAAAUACAAUUAAGAAGAAGUAUAUUAAUAGUCGGAAAAAAAUCCUUUCAGUAGCACCUUAGAGGCCAACUAAGUUUGUUAUUCGUAUGAGCUUUCGUUUUUUUUUUUAAUGAUAUUUAUUAAAGUUUCAAAGAAAAGAUUACAUAAAUAAAAAGAGGAAAAAAAGAAAAAGAAAUAGAAAAGAAAAAAAUACAAAAUACAGAAAAAAGAUAAAAAACACUUUAAAAACACAUCAAUCUUUCCAUGCCUUUACAUUUCAUUUCCUUGCUUCCCUGACCUCCUCACACCUCCCUUUUUUGUAUUCCAGUUCUAUUAGUUAAUUCAGCAAUUCCUUUCCCUCUUUGUUUUUAUCUUAAUCCUUUAACUUAAUAUAUUUUAACUUUGGAUUUUCACCUGUUAACAGUCCAUUGUUAUUCGUAUGAGCUUUCGUGUGCAUGCACACUUCUUUGGAUACCAGGGUGCUACUGGAAGAAGUUUUUUUAUUUUGUUUCGACUACAGCAGACCAACACUGCUACCUACCUGCAUCUAUAUUAAUAAUGAAAUACAAUUAAGAAGAAGUAUAUUAAUAGUGAAAUAGUUAUUAAGCUCUAACUUAAAAGUGAUUUUUUUAUUCAUAACAAACUUAAUGCAAACACAUUGGCAUUUGGCAAUAACAAAAGUUCUUUUAGAAACAAUUUACAAAGACUCAUAAUCUAGUCUCCAGAAACUUGCUAUAACAUGAGAUAUAUAUAUAUAAUUGCUAUAUAUAUAUAUAUAUAUAUUGCUAUAACAUGAAAUAAUAAUAUGAUGCAAACUACUAAUAAUUAAAAAUAGCAGAAUGUAGGCACCCUAUAUAUAGAAAUGAGCAAACAAGUGAUAUUUUAGGGAGCAGGAUAGCAAGUGGGGCCCAUUACUUGCAUCAUAGGAGCCUACACAACACAAAAUACUCUUGCUGUAUGUAGGUUUUAUUUUUAUUUUUUCUUACUUUUUGGAAAUGUACAUCCAGUUGUUCUUUUUUCCUUUAAAUUUUUUGGGGGGCCCCAAGAGAGUGGGGCCCUAAGCUAUAGACUGUUCAGCUUAUGCGUAAAUCCAGCACUGUAAUAUAUAUAAUAAAAUUUGGGGUGUUAGGGGAGGGGUAGUGCCUCUGGUGGGAGCACAGCAUGCUCCUUCUGGGGUAGUUUGUCCACCUUGGGCGUUUAGCUCUCACUUGUGUCUCCUAGAAGCUGCCAGCAUGUGACAGCAGCCACACCCUGGGAAACACCUUUGACUGGCCAGCUAAACCAGGUGAGGGUACCUGAUGGGUCUUAAACUUUUGGUGACUUAGGGACUCACCAAAUAACAGUAGCUAUAUGCCAGAGCUACAACUCGCUGUGGGUCUCUGACAUGUCUAUUUGCCAUUAACGCAUGCACUCACAAAACAGUUGGCUGCUCAUGAAGCCGAGCAUGCAUGGCAGCAAAAGAGUAAAAACUGCAGGUGCUAGUGAUGGCUUAUUCUGGAACAUAUGAAUAAGUGUUCUCAGCAGAGAUCUUUGUCGGGAGCAGAAUCUUUAUAGUCUUCCUAAUGGCAAAGGUAUUGUGUGACAGGUUCCCUUUCCAUUCUUACUGUGUUCACAGAAUGUUGGUGGGUGCAGCAGCCAAAAUGUCAUGGGAAGAGUAGAAGAGUUUGGAUUUGAUAUCCCGCUUUAUCACCACCUGAAGGAGCCUCAAAGCGGCUAUCAGUCUCCUUUCCCCUCCUCCCCCACAACAAACACUCUUUGAGGUGAGUGAGGCUGAGAGACUUCAGAGAAGUGUGACUGGCCCAAGGUCACCCAGCAGCUGCAUGUGGAGGAGCGGAGACUCAAACCCGGUUCACCAAAUUACGAGUCUACUGCUCAUAACCACUACUUCUUGCAGCCAGUCAGAAACCGCUCUUUGGUUUCCAAACAUUUUGGAAGUCAAACAGACUUCCGGAAUGGAUUCCGUUUGACUUCCAAGGUACGACUGUAUAUGCCUGAAAUACUGGUGUCCUCCUUGGAAAGUGCAGUUUCUUUAAUCGCUACUGCAGUGAGUAGAAAUUACUGAAGAAUCCAUCUGUUAUUUGAAGCUGAUUGCUUUUCCCCAUUUCUAUAUUUUACUUCUCACUGUUAUAGCAGCACAGGGUACUCUUCAAGCCUCAAUUAGGAUGGGCCUAAGCCAGAAAAUUUGGAAAGGCUAUUUUUUCCCUCAGUUGACGGAGAAAGGAAAAAACACACCUCUUUCUCUGUUUGUAAACCACAUUACGACAAGUGCCCUCCAGUACAGUGGUAUGUUGGUUCUCAAACUUAAUCCAUUCUGGGAGUCCGUUCGACUCCCAAAACGGUUUAAAAGCCAAGGUGCGACUUCUGAUUGGCUACAGGAGCUUCCUGCACUCAAUCGGAAGCCACGUCGGACGUUCAGCUUCUGAAAAACAUUAGCAAACCAGAACACUCUCUUCCGGGUUUGCGGCGUUUGGGAGCCAAUUUCUUCAGGAGCCAAGCCAUUCAAAUACCAAGGUACCACUGUAUUACUUUAUUUGGUGGUUUUGAGAUUGUUUACUUCCUUCUGUACAUAUUCAAAGAGGCUCACAAACUUAUAGCAACAUUAAAAAACCAUAACAAUCCAAACACCUUAAAAUAUUAAAGUACUUUGUUCCAUUUCUGAAGCAGUUCUCUGGGAAGAUAAAACAAGCAGGCACUUUUUAGCUGUGGCUAAAAAUCCAAAAUCUAGAUUCAUCUCCCAAGAGCGGCAUGUCUGGCCCACUUAAUAAUUGUAAUUUAGUAAUAUUUAUUUAUUUAAAAGCAGCUGCUGCCCAGAAGACUCCCAAGGAGAGAGGAGAGGAGGCUAAGGGAAGUUCAAAAAAGGGUGGGAGGCUGCCAGAUCUGAAGGCAAAGGGGUGGCAUAACUGGGCUCUUGAGCCCUGCAGGGGUACCACAGAAAGAAUGUAGUUGGUCAGGGGAGCCACGGACUCAAAAAGGUUGAAAUAUACUCGGAGGCAAGAGUGGAUUUCAUGCUCUUUAUUCAGCUCAUAGUGGUGAAGAGGAAUGGAAGUUUCCCUAGAAUGUCUGCUUUAUAUACAUUAUUUACACAAUGGGCCCCACGUGAUUGGCUAAUUCCGGGAUUCACCUGGAGGCCAAUCAGGUUGCGGAUUCACUUCCACCUGGAGCUGGAUUGGGUGGCUCCUGUGGACCGAUCAGACUGCUGCAUUCUGGACCCUAUUGUUCUAGGACCAAUCAGACUGCUGCAUUCUGGGCCCUAUUGUUCUAGGACCAAUCAGACUGCUGCAUUCUGAAUCCUAUUGUUCUAGGACCAAUCAGACUGCUGCCUUUUGGAUCCUAUUCAACUCAGUACAUAACAGUUGAAAACCUUUGUCUUAAACCAAACUUGCUUCUGAAAGAGGCAGCUAAACAGUGCCUCUCCACCUGAUCAACAAAAAGAUUGCCAAACAUUUUUGUAUUACAGAAUCUCAUGAUUAACCUAUUUAAUUUAGGAACAUGGCUUGUGCCAUUUUCCUACUUGCAAAGGCAAUUUGGUUUUUUAAAUCAAAGUUUUAUUUUAAAGUCCAGCAGGAUUUCAGUGAAAUAGUCAAUUGCUGAAUAAAAUAAAAUGCUUACUAUAUUUUACAUGCGGACUUCAAAAAUAGAAACGCUAAGUUCUCAGUUUUAUGGGUCCUCAAGCCAACUCCCUAGAGUCCUGACUUUUUGUGGCUUAAUCCUCCCUCCACAUGCAUUGUACCAGUGCAAUCCUAUGUCUACCCAGGAGCAAGCCCUAUACAGUAGAGUUCAGAUGGUCUUACUACCAGGUAAGUGCAUGUAGGAUUGCAGCCAUAGACACUUCAGUUGGUUAGCAAAGCGCAUAGACUCCUGUGAUUUGCAUUUAUUCUCUAUAUUGCUGCAAGCACUGAAGUACUUUGGUUCAAAUAUGACAGUAUCUUUAAAAACAAGUAUUUGAAGUGGUUUUACAGAGUAAGUUACAGAAGACUAAUAAAAAUGCUUUUUAGUCUUACUAGAAAAUUGACAUCCGAUCUCUCAUUAAAUGCAGUCUUUCAGCUGUUAGCUUUCAAAGUACCACCCUCCGGGCUGUUGGUAUCAAAAAAUAAAAAAGGAUUACCUAGUAGAAACUGUGCUGUAUUUUGACUGUAUUUUUAACAUUGCCAACACUAUUAAAAUUGUAAAAUAAAGAGAAUGGAGAGAAACCCCUAAACAGGCAGAUACACCAGGUCUAUACGCGGGUGGUGCUGUGGUCUAAACCACUGAGCUUUGGGCUUGCCAAUCGGAAGGUCGGCGGUUCGAAUCCCCACGACAGGGUGAGCUCCCGUUUCUUGGUCCCUGCUCCUGCCAACCUAGCAGUUUGAAAGCAUGUCAAAGUGCAAGUAGAUAAAUAGGUACCGCUCCGGCGGGAAGGUAUACGGCGUUUCCAUGCGCUGCUCUGAUUUCGGUGUUCUGUUGCGACAGAAGUGGCUUAGUCAUGCUGGCCACAUGACCCGGGAAAACUGUCUGCGGACAAACGUCAGCUCCCUCUGCCAGUAAAGCAAGAUGAGCGCCGCAACCCCAGAGUCGUUCGUGACUGGACUUAACUGUCAGGGGUCCUUUACCUUUUUACGCCAGGCCUAUGGCCUAUCUCCUGUGUAGUUUAAGUAGCAUCCUAACUGUUCCUGCAGGAUUGUGUGAGGCAGUGUAAGCUUUCAUUUUCUUGACUUCUGUGGAAUUAAUUUAGUAAUGUUUGCAUUUAUGAUGGUUUUAGUUGCACUAAUCUCUGUAAGUGGGAUAAGUGAAUGAUAGGAGUUAGGAUUGGUUCACCUCAUUCCCCACCUCAAUAUGCCCAUUCCCAGCCCUUGGCAUGCUUCUUUUUGUCGUUCACACUGGCUUAACUUCCAUUGGCACAACCCCGUUGUUCCCAAAUCCCACCCCACCCCCAGGACUACGCAAAAAUUGCUGAGGGCCUUAUUCGAUCAUUUAAUGAUUUUUCUGCCUGCUGUAGCAAUUGUAAUGUGCUGUGCUAUAUGCUGUAUGUUUUUAAAUUGUGUUUUUAUUGCUUUCCUUAUUUAUUGUAUUUUACAGUAAGACAGUACAAUAAAAUACAAUAUGACAUAAAAGUGAUGGGGUUAGGAUUGCACCUUUGGUUUUUUAGGCUGUACAGUGGUACCUCAGGUUAAGUACUUAAUUCGUUCCGGAGGUCCAUUCUUAAUCUGAAACUGUACUUAACCUGAAGCACCACUUUAGCUAAUGGGGCCUCCUGCUGCUGCUGCUGCGCCGCCGGAGCACGAUUUCUGUUCUCAUCCUGAAGCAAAGUUCUCAGCCUGAGGUACUAUUUCUGGGUUAGCGGAGUCUGUAACCUGAAGCGUAUGUAACCUGAGGUACCACUGUAUAAAUAUUUGACAAUGGUUUUAUUUUUUUACUGUCCAAUAACAUUUGGAUGGCUUUUUUUGCUGUUAGAAGUAUCUGAAAAGUGACCAUCUGAUUUUAAAAGCUCCAAGAACAAUAAGCCCCAGUAAAUGUCAGGCUGGAGUACAAAUAAAACCCAUAUGGAGCCUGAAGUGCUUCUCGUAUAUAAUAAAAUACAUCAUUUGUCUUUUUAUAGCACUUUUAAGUUCGCAGUCUUUAUAUUUGUACUUCUCAUGUAUGCAAGAAAUAAGCCUAGCAAUGAUUUUGAGCCAACUAUGAUAAAAGUUAUUAUACAUCUGUAAUUAGCAACCUCUGCUAUUAAACACUGCUUACUAGAAUUCUGCUUUGAAUAAGUUGUCCUCUGGUUGCCUUCAUGUGGAAGUAAAGGAUUAUGAUAGAAAUUUUCCCAAAAUGUGAUUUUCUAAUGUUUAUUUUCUCAUAUUAAAAUUGUUGAUAUUUGUGAAAGAGAAAAUAGGAUGAAUUUAACUUUUGUUGUGCUUUAUUUUUCAGGAAAUUUCAAAGCAGUUUGUCUCAACAAAAAUCAAUAUAUGUUAUAUACAAAUACAAAUUUCACAUUCAGUACAACUACCACUGCAUUCAACAUCCUGUUAUGUACAAAUCCCACAGGUUGAUGGCCCAAAACCCCAAAACUGUUUCAUUUCAUUUCCUCUCCAUCUCCACCCUCUCCCAAUCUUUCAACUAGGGAGAUAAAACCCAUUCCCCUCAACAGACUCGCCAUGUAGGGAUUUGAGCUAAGAAUCCAACGAACUUGGAACAACUCCGUGGACGAUUACUGUAUAAUCAAUAAAUAAUAAUAAUAAAUCCCUUAAAAGAAGUAUUUGAAGUGGUUUUGUCCCUCAAACAACAAUUUGAAACAAGGACAAAUUCUAGCAGGACUACAUACCAUUUGACUGUACACCUUAUUAGGUAUCAAAUUACAGUGAACAUAUUCUUUUGGUGACUUUCACCAGUGUUGCUGUGGGUUCAACUGGCUAUAUAAAAGCAAGUUCUGAGUGAUAAUGAUCUUUUUGUUUGCUAUCGGCAACUGCAGGUGUUCUGAAGUAGUUUGCAAGCUUUUGAAGAUGCUCUGAGCACAAUGGAGCUAGCAUGUUCAUAUUAAAAUAUGUAAUAAUUUCACAACUGUCAGACUGAAUUUUAGUCAGCUCCAUGUAGUUUAAUUUAGGUGCGCUAUGCAAUAGAAACGCUGUUAAUCUGUGGUGACAUCCUGUCUCUCCCAAUUAAUGGGGUUCAAAACAGGGUUCCUGACUGGGUGCAAGAUCCUGGAAGGUCUUUCUUGUGACCUCGGCUGAUUCCAGAAGGUACUGAGGACCACUAGCAACAAAAAGGAUUCAGCCUCAGCAAUCAUGUCAGAUUGUUGGAAAGUAGUUUAACAUUCCUACCAGUAAUUUAAGGAACAAUUAUGACUCCAAAAGGACAUUUGAGGAAGGUAUUUUAAUAUUAAAUCUUGCAGUGCUCACAUUAGAGAGUCAUCAAUGUAUAUUCCAAAGGACACUUCAGUAGGCAUUUGGUGUGAAUGUAGUGUAGAUCCCUUUCCAAGGUUUUUCUGGAUGCUGCGGUUAGAGCAGAGGUGUAGCACAGGAGAACAGGGGUGGUGGGGGCCCUGGGUGCAAAAUUCUGAGGGGGCGCAACCAGGUACUGGCUUCUGCAGGGAUCCCUGUACUGACCUGGCGAAGACGGCAGAGCAGCCCAGGUCCACAGUGAGCAGGCACAGAUGGAAGGAGGUGGGCAAGGGGUUACCCCAGCACAUCCUGGCCCAGCAUGGGGAUUCGCCCACCAAGGGCCAUGCUGGCUGGCUGAGCUCCCCCCUGUGUUGGCAGGCAGGCAGGCAGCACAGUGCGACCCCACCUGGCUCAGGGGGAGGCAGGGUGCUAUGAUAGUGUCAGUGAUUUGCUCUCCCAGGGCCGUCUUAAGCAUAUCUGGCGCUGUGGUGCAAAGAUCCCUCUGGCGCCCCCCCUUUCCCAGAGUUGUCGACCGGCUGGAGGAGGCGGGUUUUAGCUUUCUGGCGCCCUGCAGAAUUCGGUGCCUGCAGGCUAAAAGGGAAAAAACCGAGCCGACGCUCGGCGGGAGUGGCGCACACACCCUCCCUCACUCAGCGCGCUCAUUCGGUGUUCCCCGGACUCUUGCCUGGCACCCUCCAUAACUUGGUGCCCUGGUGCCCCGCGCCACUAGCCUCUAUGGGUAAGACAGGCCUGUGCUCUCCCCAGACACUGGCAACCCAUGCUACACACUGAGUUAGGGUGGGUGAUUUGUAUGUGAUUUUACGCAAUUUUGAAAUUCAUUCUAGUAAUUCAAGGGCAGAGGCAUGGAAGGUGCCUCUUGAGGUACAGGCACUGAAGAGCUUGAAGAAGAAGAAGACGAAAGGACGGGUUUCAAGCCUUUCUUCCUGCUUGACUGUGAGUGCCACACCAGUACCAUUUGUCCUAAAUCCUCAGCUGGAAUACCCCUUCCUCUGAAGUGAAUGUGGACUUAUGAUUCAUCAGGAGCUCAGGGCCCAUAAUGGACAAUACAUGUGAUUCUAGAUAGAUCAUAUGUAGAUUUCCCUCAAAAAUUCUUCUGCAGUCUCCCGUUCCUACUGAUACCUCCCUCUUGUGUUGUGGUCAAUGCUAUAAAUUGCACACAUAGCCUGAGCGUUGGAAAUGCAGGGAAUUGUGAAAAUUCUAUUUCCUACUGGCAUGAAUUCAAGUCGCUAAAUACUGAUGCAGACAGGUCUUUAAAUUGCUUUCAGAGAAUGCUCAGGACGGCUACAGUGCUCAAGUGGGAUGUGUGCGCAUGUGUGUAAAAGACUACGGUUGUAGGAAGCUAGGGCACAGACUGGAUUGCUGAUGAAAGUGUUCAAGGCAGCCUGCUCUGCACUAGCUGCAGUUUCCAAGCAAUCUUCCAGAGCUGACAAAGACAAAAUAGGUAAUGUCCCCUGCCCCCACAAAGCUCAAAAUCUAUUUACUGCUUAAUUGCUUUCACUGCUGAAGUACUUGUCUAAUCUAGGGAACUAGCAAUUGAAUUCAUGCUGUGGAUAAACAAUUGCCAAUUUAUAGUAUGAUAAAAUAUUGAAUUGUAACAGAUUUUACAAACGUGGAUAUCCCACAGUAGCAUUUUUAAGCAUUACUGUUGAGAGACUCCUUGAUAAAGGAGCUAUGUAAGGAUUUUUGCCAGGCAGACUCAUAGCAAAUACUAUGCACAGCUUAAUCAAAAAAGAAAAUAAAUGAAGUGGUUUGCAGCUUUCUUUGGAAAUAGAGUCAAGGG
rnacentral:lncRNA from 1 species